rnacentral:rRNA from 1 species
GAUGAACGCUGGCGGCGUGCCUAAUACAUGCAAGUCGAGCGAACAGACGAGGAGCUUGCUCCUCUGACGUUAGCGGCGGACGGGUGAGUAACACGUGUAUAACCUACCUAUAAGACUGGGAUAACUUCGGGAAACCGGAGCUAAUACCGGAUAAUAUAUUGAACCGCAUGGUUCAAUAGUGAAAGACGGUUUUGCUGUCACUUAUAGAUGGAUCCGCGCCGCAUUAGCUAGUUGGUAAGGUAACGGCUUACCAAGGCAACGAUGCGUAGCCGACCUGAGAGGGUGAUCGGCCGCACUGGAGCUGGGACACGGACCAGACUACUACGGGAGGCAGCAGUAGCGAAUCUUCCGCAAUGGGCGAAAGCCUGACGGAGCAACGCGGCGUGAGUGAUGAAGGUCUUCGGAUCGUAAAACUCUGUUAUUAGGGAAGAACAACUGUGUAAGUAACUAUGCACGUCUUGACGGUACCUAAUCAGAAAGCCACGGCUAACUACGUG